AUACGUAGGGUGCAAGCGUUAUCCGGAAUUAUUGGGCGUAAAGGGCUCGUAGGCGGUUCGUCGCGUCCGGUGUGAAAGUCCAUCGCUUAACGGUGGAUCCGCGCCGGGUACGGGCGGGCUUGAGUGCGGUAGGGGAGACUGGAAUUCCCGGUGUAACGGUGGAAUGUGUAGAUAUCGGGAAGAACACCAAUGGCGAAGGCAGGUCUCUGGGCCGUUACUGACGCUGAGGAGCGAAAGCGUGGGGAGCGAACAGGAUUAGAUACCCUGGUAGUCCACGCCGUAAACGGUGGAUGCUGGAUGUGGGGCCCGUUCCACGGGUUCCGUGUCGGAGCUAACGCGUUAAGCAUCCCGCCUGGGGAGUACGGCCGCAAGGCUAAAACUCAAAGAAAUUGACGGGGGCCCGCACAAGCGGCGGAGCAUGCGGAUUAAUUCGAUGCAACGCGAAGAACCUUACCUGGGCUUGACAUGUUCCCGACGGUCGUAGAGAUACGGCUUCCCUUCGGGGCGGGUUCACAGGUGGUGCAUGGUCGUCGUCAGCUCGUGUCGUGAGAUGUUGGGUUAAGUCCCGCAACGAGCGCAACCCUCGCCCCGUGUUGCCAGCGGAUUAUGCCGGGAACUCACGGGGGACCGCCGGGGUUAACUCGGAGGAAGGUGGGGAUGACGUCAGAUCAUCAUGCCCCUUACGUCCAGGGCUUCACGCAUGCUACAAUGGCCGGUACAACGGGAUGCGACGCGGCGACGCGGAGCGGAUCCCUGAAAACCGGUCUCAGUUCGGAUCGCAGUCUGCAACUCGACUGCGUGAAGGCGGAGUCGCUAGUAAUCGCGAAUCAGCAACGUCGCGGUGAAUGCGUUCCCGGGCCUUGUACCCACCGCCCGUCAAGUCAUGAAAGUGGGCAGCACCCGAAGCCGGUGGCCUAACCCCUUGUGGGAUGGAGCCGUCUAAGGUGAGGCUCGUGAUUGGGACU
rnacentral:rRNA from 1 species